CUAGCAGUUUAGUUAUCCGUCUUUACACAUCGAGAUUCCAGUGUUUCAUUGAAACACACAACAGCAGUAAUCAUGGUGAAGUUAGCAAAGGCAGCAAAUCAAGCUCAAAAGAAAAAAGCCCCCCCACCUAAACAGGUAGAGGAAGAAGAGGACUCUAGCGAGGAGGACAGCGAAGAGGAAGAGGCUCCUCCAGCUAAGGUUA